rnacentral:rRNA from 1 species
GUGUCAGCCGCCGCGGUAAUACGUAGGGUGCAAGCGUUGUCCGGAAUUAUUGGGCGUAAAGAGUUCGUAGGCGGUUUGUCGCGUCCGUUGUGAAAGCUUGGGGCUCAACCCCAAGUCUGCAGUGGAUACGGGCAGACUAGAGUCAGGUAGGGGAGAACGGAAUUCCUGGUGUAGCGGUGAAAUGCGCAGAUAUCAGGAGGAACACCGGUGGCGAAGGCGGUUCUCUGGGCCUGUACUGACGCUGAGGAACGAAAGCGUGGGGAGCGAACAGGAUUAGAUACCCCCGUAGUCC